UACGGGGGGGGUAAGCGUUGUUCGGAAUUACUGGGCGUAAAGGGCUCGUAGGCGGCCAACUAAGUCAGACGUGAAAUCCCUCAGCUUAACUGGGGAACUGCGUCUGAUACUGGAUGGCUUGGAUUCGGGAGAGGAAUGCGGAAUUCCAGGUGUAGCGGUGAAAUGCGUAGAUAUCAGGAGGAACGCCGAUGGCGAAGGCAGGUCUCUGGGCCGAUACUGACGCUGAGGCACGAAAGCCAGGGGAGCGAACGGG
rnacentral:rRNA from 1 species